rnacentral:rRNA from 1 species
UCCAGACUCCUACGGGAGGCAGCAGUGGGGAAUAUUGGGCAAUGGGCGCAAGCCUGACCCAGCAACGCCGCGUGAAGGAAGAAGGCUUUCGGGUUGUAAACUUCUUUUAAGGGGGAAGAGCAGAAGACGGUACCCCUUGAAUAAGCCACGACUAACUACGUGCCAGCAGCCGCGGUAAUACGUAGGUGGCCAGCGUUGUCCGGAUUUACUGGGUGUAAAGGGCGUGCAGCCGGAGAGACAAGUCAGAUGUGAAAUCCACGGGCUCAACCCGUGAACUGCAUUUGAAACUGUUUCCCUUGAGUGUCGGAGAGGUAAUCGGAAUUCCUUGUGUAGCGGUGAAAUGCGUAGAUAUAAGGAAGAGCACCAGUGGCGAAGGCGGAUUACUGGACGAUAACUGACGGUGAGGCGCGAAAGCGUGGGGAGCAAGCAGGAUUAGAGACCCCCGUAGUU